CUCCUAUAGCUCCUCCCACCAGCCUCCACUGCUCUAUAUACAUGUGGUCCAAUAUCUUAACACACCACAGCACUCUGCAUUAUCCUAAUAUUUCUACUCCGAUUCUUUAGGUAUUUACAUCACUGACAGCAUGAUACACCUAAAAAAAAAGGUGACUUCUCAAGGUUUAGCUGGAUAUAAAGAUGAACUAAUUGAGGUUAUCAGGCAUUCCCUGGUAGUUGUAAUGGACAGCUUAUGCUGUGGUGGCUGUUGAAAAGCCUUGCCAGUUCCCACAGCCAUGCAGACUUAGCUCUGGCUGGCUGCAGUUCUGUGAGAAUCUGCUCCACUGUCAGUAAGGGAUCAGGACUGUCAUUAAAGGCUCUGAACCAGAGGAAAGACUGCAUGGUGCAGCAUGGCAGAGAUGGAGACACUGUGCGCUGCUGCUGGACCACUAAGGGGUUUUGCAUUGAGCUGCAUAUUCCAAAUCAAAAUACUGUGCUAUAGCUCAAUUGUCUUGUGCUUGGGUCAGACAGUGUUAUCUGAGGGGUUUUCUCCCUCUUCAGGACAUUGCUCUUCCCCUCUGUUUUGAGACGAGAAUGAGGCAAUUAGACAAUGUUUUUUUUUACGCUUUGUUUUUAAAUGUAGUUUGGACGGCACAAUAAAUGUUUAUUUAUUUAUAUUUAAACCCUUUUAUAUGCAUGUCUCUGCUGUAGGUUUCCAUUACUGUAUGGUACAUCUCCAUGAACUUAAGCUGCAGUCUAGUUUGUUCAGUGUUUUGCACUGGAUGGUCGGUGUAUCUCCUCUGUGAUGAAAGAGAAGACUAUGCUGAGUGAGUGUCAGGAAAUGGUAGACUGAUUCUAUUUCUAUCUACGGUUUGGCUGCACCAUCAGGACCAACCAACAACAGGACCCGACCAGUCUGGCCAACCUAAAGCCUUUCUAAUUUGGUGAUGAGCUGUAAGACGACCUGCUUGCCCCUGCGGCGAAUCGAGGGAGACAGAGCGAGAGAUGAUAGUGACUCCGACUGGGAGCCCCCGGUGCCAAGGUGCCCAUCCCCCACUGAAGCGGGUUCAUCCAGCUGGACUCCUGCUGUCUCCGGCUCCACACCUACCCCCGCCCGGCCAUCUAGAGGUGUGAAGACAGUAACAAAGAAGCGGAGGAAGGGAAGUGUGGAACCUGCUGGCAGAGAGGUAGAGGGGCAAUGGCACUCUGUGCUGGAGGAGGAUGUGGAGCCAUGUCCUCCAAUAUUCAGACCAAAAAGGCCACCAGGACCUCAGCUCGACAUGACAUCGAAAUACAGCCCCAUGCAACUUUUUCAACUGUUUUUCACCCCGGCAGUUGUUGAUUCCCUGGUGUGUAAUACUAACAAGUAUGGGGCUAGGAAGCAAGCAGGAAAGAAAGAGGCAUGGAAGCCCAUUUCCAUGUCAGAUCUUUUCUGCUAGCUUUCACCGGUAAUUUACAUGGGGCUGGUGAAGUUAAAAACCCUAAAGGAUUACUGGAAAACAUCCCCACUCUAUCAACUGCCUUUCCCCCCCACUGUCAUGUCCUCUACAGGGUUUAUAAAUAUCUCACGGGCGCUUCACAUCAGUGACCCAGAAGUUGAUGAC